rnacentral:rRNA from 1 species
UCCUACGGGAGGCAGCAGUAGGGAAUCUUCCGCAAUGGACGAAAGUCUGACGGAGCAACGCCGCGUGAGUGAUGAAGGCUUUCGGGUCGUAAAACUCUGUUGUUAGGAAAGAACAAGUGCUAGUUGAAUAAGCUGGCACCUUGACGGUACCUAACCAGAAAGCCACGGCUAACUACGUGCCAGCAGCCGCGGUAAUACGUAGGUGGCAAGCGUUAUCCGGAAUUACUGGGCGUAAAGGGCGCGCAGGCGGACCGAUAAGUCGUCUGUGAAAUCUGCCGGCUCAACCAGCAGCCUGCAGUCGAAACUAUCGGUCUUGAGUAUGGGAGAGGUGAGCGGAAUCUCUGGUGUAGCGGUGAAAUGCGUAGAUAUCAGAGAGAACACCGGUGGCGAAGGCGGCUCACUGGCCUAAUACUGACGCUGAGGCGCGAAAGCUAGGGGAGCGAACGGGAUUAGAUACCCCGGUAGUCCUAGCCGUAAACGAUGGGUACUAGGUGUUGGAGGUAUUGACCCCUUCAGUGCCGAAGCAAACGCAUUAAGUACCCCGCCUGGGGAGUACGGCCGCAAGGCUGAAACUCAAAGGAA